rnacentral:rRNA from 1 species
GAUGAACGCUGGCGGCGUGCCUAAUACAUGCAAGUCGAGCGAACGGACGAUAAGCUUGCUUCUCUGAUGUUAGCGGCGGACGGGUGAGUAACACGUGGAUAACCUACCUAUAAGACUGGGAUAACUUCGGGAAACCGGAUCUAAUACCGGAUGAUAUUUUGAACCGCAUGGUUCAAAAGUGAAAGACGGUCUUGCUGUCACUUAUAGAUGGAUCCGCGCUGCAUUAGCUAGUUGGUAAGGUAACGGCUUACCAAGGCAACGAUGCAUAGCCGACCUGAGAGGGUGAUCGGCCACACUGGAACUGAGACACGGUCCAGACUCCUACGGGAGGCAGCAGUAGGGAAUCUUCCGCAAUGGGCGAAAGCCUGACGGAGCAACGCCGCGUGAGUGAUGAAGGUCUUCGGAUCGUAAAACUCUGUUAUUAGGGAAGAACAUAUGUGUAAGUAACUGUGCACAUCUUGACGGUACCUAAUCAGAAAGCCACGGCUAACUACGUG